rnacentral:rRNA from 1 species
UACGGAAGGCAGCAGUGGGGAAUAUUGCACAAUGGGCGCAAGCCUGAUGCAGCCAUGCCGCGUGUAUGAAGAAGGCCUUCGGGUUGUAAAGUACUUUCAGCGGGGAGGAAGGGAGUAAAGUUAAUACCUUUGCUCAUUGACGUUACCCGCAGAAGAAGCACCGGCUAACUCCGUGCCAGCAGCCGCGGUAAUACGGAGGGUGCAAGCGUUAAUCGGAAUUACUGGGCGUAAAGCGCACGCAGGCGGUUUUGUUAAGUCAGAUGUGAAAUCCCCGGGCUCAACCUGGGAACUGCAUCUGAUACUGGCAAGCUUGAGUCUCGUAGAGGGGGUAGAAUUCCAGGUGUAGCGGUGAAAUGCGUAGAGAUCUGGAGGAAUACCGGUGGCGAAGGCGGGCCCCUGGACGAGACUGACGCUCAGGGUGCGAAAGCGUGGGGAGCAAACGAGGAUUAGGAUAACC